AACAGUUUAUGUCGCAUGGCAUAAGAGUGAAAGGCGCUUUCGGGUGUCGCUGAUGGAUGGACCCGCGGUGCAUUAGCUAGUUGGUGAGGUAACGGCUCACCAAGGCCACGAUGCAUAGCCGACCUGAGAGGGUGAUCGGCCACACUGGGACUGAGACACGGCCCAGACUCCUACGGGAGGCAGCAGUAGGGAAUCUUCGGCAAUGGACGAAAGUCUGACCGAGCAACGCCGCGUGAGUGAAGAAGGUUUUCGGAUCGUAAAACUCUGUUGUUAGAGAAGAACAAGGACGUUAGUAACUGAACGUCCCCUGACGGUAUCUAACCAGAAAGCCACGGCUAACUACGUGCCAGCAGCCGCGGUAAUACGUAGGUGGCAAGCGUUGUCCGGAUUUAUUGGGCGUAAAGCGAGCGCAGGCGGUUUCUUAAGUCUGAUGUGAAAGCCCCCGGCUCAACCGGGGAGGGUCAUUGGAAACUGGGAGACUUGAGUGCAGAAGAGGAGAGUGGAAUUCCAUGUGUAGCGGUGAAAUGCGUAGAUAUAUGGAGGAACACCAGUGGCGAAG
rnacentral:rRNA from 1 species